AUUGAACGCUGGCGGCAUGCUUUACACAUGCAAGUCGAACGGUAACAGGCCGCAAGGUGCUGACGAGUGGCGAACGGGUGAGUAAUGCAUCGGAACGUGCCCAGUCGUGGGGGAUAACGCAGCGAAAGCUGCGCUAAUACCGCAUACGAUCUCUGGAUGAAAGCGGGGGACCGAAAGGCCUCGCGCGAUUGGAGCGGCCGAUGUCAGAUUAGGUAGUUGGUGGGGUAAAGGCCCACCAAGCCAACGAUCUGUAGCUGGUCUGAGAGGACGACCAGCCACACUGGGGCUGAGACACGGCCCAGACUCCUACGGGAGGCAGCAGUGGGGAAUUUUGGACAAUGGGCGCAAGCCUGAUCCAGCAAUGCCGCGUGCAGGAAGAAGGCCUUCGGGUUGUAAACUGCUUUUGUACGGAACGAAACGGUUCGGGUUAAUACCCUGGGCUAAUGACGGUACCGUAAGAAUAAGCACCGGCUAACUACGUGCCAGCCGCCGCGAUAACAC
rnacentral:rRNA from 1 species